GACGAACGCUGGCGGCGUGCUUAACACAUGCAAGUCGAACGGAAAGGCCCUGCUUUUGUGGGGUGCUCGAGUGGCGAACGGGUGAGUAACACGUGAGUAACCUGCCCUUGACUUUGGGAUAACUUCAGGAAACUGGGGCUAAUACCGGAUAGGAGCUCCUGCUGCAUGGUGGGGGUUGGAAAGUUUCGGCGGUUGGGGAUGGACUCGCGGCUUAUCAGCUUGUUGGUGGGGUAGUGGCUUACCAAGGCUUUGACGGAUAGCCGGCCUGAGAGGGUGACCGGCCACAUUGGGACUGAGGUACGGCCCAGACGCGUACGGGAGGCAGCGGUGGGGAAUAUUGCACAAUGGGCGGAAGCCUGAUGCAGCGACGCCGCGUGCGGGAUGACGGCCUUCGGGUUGUAAACCGCUUUAGCCUGUGACGAAGCGUGAGUGACGGUAAUGAGUAAAGAAGCACCGGCUAACUACGUG
rnacentral:rRNA from 1 species